rnacentral:lncRNA from 10 species
UUAAGAUGCAAAGGAUUAGGGCAAGUAAGAAAAUAGUGGUGGGAGGGAGGCUGAACUUUUCCGCUUUCCUCAAGCAAGAACAAAGUCAUCAUCAUCAUAAUAGCAGAAUUGAGUGUGGCAUCUGGAGGGAUACAUUUAAAGACCGUCCUGGAGUGGAAGGGAAUGUUUGAGAUUAGUGGGAAAUCCGAUGGAUUAGUGGAGGGUGAGAGAACAUUUAAAACGAAGGCAGAGAGAGUUAGACAUGAUAUGGUAAAAUACUUGGUUAAAAUGGAGACAUUAUGUGAUAUGGCCAAGAAGGAAUGUCUUGCCUCAUUCACAUUUAUCUAACAGAUGCCUCAUUUUUUUGAAGAAGGAAACGCACACACACACACACACACACACACAUGCACACACACACAGUCCUUUUUAAAGCAGUUUAAUUCAAAUGAAAUAAUUUUUUGAUGGUGUCUAGGAGUUUCAUAGGAUGGAUAUUUUAAUAAUAACUAUCUAAUUUGAACUUGCAUGAUUUAUUAUGUGGUGGUCUAUAAAUGAUUGAUUUGUGUAACAUCUAAACUCAGAGGAACCGAUCUAUGGCUUUAACAACUGUUUUAGUAAUCGCUACUUCUCCAUGUGAUGUGUGGGGUCCUCCCUGUGAGGGGAUUGUUCCUGCUGCUCCGGGAAGUUUCAGGACAUUUCUUUUUAUUUUCUCACAUAUGUGCUACUACUUGGGACAAGAUGCAUUCUUCUUCAGUCUGAAAAGCCUUCUUGCACACUCCUGAAGACAAGACAGUGUGGAUGGCGUGAUAUUCAUCCUGCUGAGAGU